rnacentral:rRNA from 1 species
AUUGAACGCUGGCGGCAGGCCUAACACAUGCAAGUCGAACGAGUGGCGGACGGGUGAGUAAUGUCUGGGAAACUGCCUGAUGGAGGGGGAUAACUACUGGAAACGGUAGCUAAUACCGCAUACCAUCAGAUGUGUCCAGAUGGGCUUUGCUAGUAGGUGGGGUAAUGGCUCAACUAGGCGUCGAUCCCUAGCUGGUCUGAGAGGAUGACCAGCCACACUUGAACUGGGACAUGUGCCAUAGUCCUACGGGAGGCAGCAGUGGGGAAUAUUGCACAAUGGGCGCAAGCCUGAUGCCGCCGUGCCGCGUGUGUGUAGAAGGCCGUCGGGUUGUAAAGCACUUUCAGCGAGGAGGCGUUACUCGCAGAAGAAGCACCGGCUAACUCCGUGCCAGCAGCCGCGGUAAUAC